rnacentral:rRNA from 1 species
UACGUAGGGUGCAAGCGUUACUCGGAAUUACUGGGCGUAAAGCGCGCGUAGGUGGUUCGUUAAGUCUGUCGUGAAAGCCCCGGGCUCAACCUGGGAAUGGCGAUGGAUACUGGCGGGCUAGAGUGCGGUAGAGGAGAGUGGAAUUCCCGGUGUAGCAGUGAAAUGCGUAGAGAUCGGGAGGAACAUCAGUUGCGAAGGCGGCUCUCUGGACCAGCACUGACACUGAGGCACGAAAGCGUGGGGAGCAAACAGG